rnacentral:lncRNA from 1 species
GUCACCCAGGUGCCCCUCUUCUCAUUCCAGAUUUUUUGCAUUGCUAGAAUUAUUUCUUUAUGUGUUUACAUCUUAUUGCAGACUCUAGAAGAUCCAAAUCCAUUUGGAUUGCAAACUUCAGUUCAUCACAAUGUCACCACUUGUGAUUCACUAUUAAAUAAUAAGGAAAAUUCACAGUCAUUGGAAAAUAGGUCUGACCAGGACACUCUGUGCGUGUUGAGGAGAUCAUCCAGACUGAAAGCAGGAAGAGAUGCAAAGCACACAGAUGACAUGUAUAAGAUGCCAGAAAAGAUUUUACAAAAGAUACUUGUCUGUGAGGAUCAAACAAAUAAGAAGUCCUCAACUAAGAAUUUCAGAAUGCAGGAUCCUGCUUUAAUGAUUAAAGGUAAAAGGAAGAAUAUGCAUUCAGCCAGACUCAAGAGUGGAAAACAGAUCAGGAAAAACAGAAAACUUGCUGGAAAAAAUGGUGAGGCAUAUUUGAUUUCUUUAUAAUUUUUUUUAACUAAGUAGCUUAGAAAAAAAUAGAAUUUUGGUACUGAAAAGGAUUUAGAGAUGAUCUAGAUUAUCUGUCUCAACUUUCUCAUUUUACUGAUGAAGAAGUUGAGAAAGGUUAAGUAUUUUUCCUGGUAGUGCACAGCUCAUUAGUAGCAUAACUAGGACUUGAUCACUAACUUCUGGCUUAUAGGCUGGCAUUUUUUCUAUACUUCUCCUUUGGAGAGAAUAGUUACAGAACUCUUUUCAAAUUUACAUAUUUGACCUAUUUGUGAUGUAACCAACGUAGCAUAAGACUUUGAGAAAUCAUACCAAGAGGAAUGAAUAGAGGAAAGGAGAAGGCAAAAUUAUUGUUAUUCUAAGAUGUUAUUUUUGUUCCUAAAAAAACCCCAAAGAAUAUUCUAACAAACUAUCAGAAACAA